rnacentral:rRNA from 1 species
GUGUCAGCCGCCGCGGUAAUACGAAGGGGGCUAGCGUUGUUCGGAAUUACUGGGCGUAAAGGGCGCGUAGGCGGCGCGUUAAGUCAGAUGUGAAAGCCCUGGGCUCAACCCAGGAAUUGCAUUUGAUACUGACGUGCUUGAAUCCGGAAGAGGAUGACGGAAUUCCCAGUGUAGAGGUGAAAUUCAUUGAUAUUGGGAAGAACACCAGUGGCGAAGGCGGUCAUCUGGUCCGGUAUUGACGCUGAGGCGCGAAAGCGUGGGGAGCAAACAGGAUUAGAUACCCCCGUAGUCC